rnacentral:rRNA from 1 species
GAUGAACGCUGGCGGCGUGCCUAAUACAUGCAAGUCGAGCGAACAGACGCGGAGCUUGCUCCUCUGACGUUAGCGGCGGACGGGUGAGUAACACGUGGAUAACCUACCUAUAAGACUGGGAUAACUUCGGGAAACCGGAGCUAAUACCGGAUAAUCUAUUGAACCGCAUGGUUCAAUAGUGAAAGACGGUUUUGCUGUCACUUCUAGAUGGAUCCGCGCCGCAUUAGCUAGUUGGUAAGGUAACGGCUUUCCAAGGCAACGAUGCGUAGGCGAGCUGAGAGAGUGAUCGGCCACACUGGAACGGAGACACGGUCCAGACUCCUACGGGAGGCAGCAGUAGGGAAUCUUCCGCAAUGGGCGAGAGCCUGACGGAGCAACGCCGCGUGAGUGAUGAAGGUCUUCGGAUCGUAAAACUCUGUUAUUAGUGAAGAACAAAUGUGUAAGUAACUAUGCACGUCUUGACGGUACCUAAUCAGAAAGCCACGGCUAACUACGUG